AGGACAUAUGAUGAGAAACUUAUGUCACUCACGACGGUCGUCUGAGACACUUUGUGUGUAAUGUUGCAAUCAAAUAUUCUCUGAUGUCU
rfam:Triticum urartu cultivar G1812 contig496577, whole genome shotgun sequence.